UAUGUGAUCGUCUCUCGCAUAUCAAUAAGCGGAGGAAAAGAAACUAACAAGGAUUCCCCUAGUAACGGCGAGUGAAGCGGGAAGAGCUCAAAUUUGAAAUCUUAAAGGGUUUCCCUUUACGAAUUGUAGUUUAAAGAAGUGUUUUCUGUUGAGGUUUUGGUAAAAGUUCUUUGGAAUAGGACAUCAUAGAGGGUGAGAAUCCCGUAUUUGACCUUUACUUUCAACUUUGUGAUACACUUUCAAAGAGUCGGAUUGUUUGGGAAUGCAGUCCAAAAUGGGUGGUAAAUUUCAUCUAAAGCUAAAUAUUGGCGAGAGACCGAUAGCGAACAAGUACCGUGAGGGAAAGAUGAAAAGAACUUUGAAAAGAGAGUUAAACAGUACGUGAAAUUGUCAAAAGGGAAGCGUUUGACACCAGUGUUGUUUUUCUGAAAAUCAAUUAAAGAACUGUUUAUGCUAAGCUGUUUAGACUUUAUCAGCUAACUGUUUAGUUUUGAGCUUUUCUUUAAUGCACUUUUCAGUUAACAAGUCAACAUCAAUUUCUUUUGCUGUAAAAAAGCUUGAGGAAGGUGGCUUGAGAUUCGUCUUAAGUGUUUAUAGCCUCUUGCCUAUGCAGUCGGAGAGAUUGAGGUCUGCAGCGUAGAUCCUUCGGGGCUAAAUGCAUUUGUGCUAAGUUAUAGCAUUUUAUAGACAACUUGUUGACUAUGAUUUGUCCUGUAGCUUACUCGCUUAUGUUAUUUUACCUACGCUUAGGAUGUUGAUCUGUAGUGCGUGCGC
rnacentral:rRNA from 1 species